UUUUUUUUUUUUUAAAGUUAUUUGAGAGGGAGCGCGGGCAGAGAGCCAGAGGGAGAGAGAAUCCCAAGUAGGCUCCAUACCAUCAGCACAGAGCCCAAAUGGGGACUCCAGUUCACAAGUGUGAGAUACCACCUGGCUGAAAUCAAGAGCUUAACCGACUGAACCACCCAGGUCCCCCUUCGUCUAGGAAAGUAAGAGCAGUGAACAAAACCUGCCCUCAUGGGGCUUCCAUUGCAGUCGGGGAGACACAGUAAACAAAGUAAAAUACAAUAUACCAGGUGCUGAUAAGUGCUGUGGAGAAAGAGGGGUAAUGCUCGCUUUGUAGAAUGAAUUUGGAAGAGUUUUUUGGAAUCAUUUGAGAAAGAUAAGUGUUAACUCUUUUUUCUUACUAUUUUUUUAUUUAAAAAAAAUUUUAACAUUUAUUUUUAAGAGACAGUGACAGAGGCAUAGAGAGAGGGAGAAAUAGAAUCUGAAACAGGAUCCAGGCUCUGAGCUGUCAGCAUAGAGCCUGACAUGGGGUUUGAACUCGUGAAUCGCAAGACCAUGACCUGAGUUAAAGUCAGAUGCUUCACUGACUGAGCCACCCAGGUGCCCCUCUUACUAUUUUUUUUUUAACAUUUAUUUUAUUUUUGAGAGAAAGAGAAACAGAAUGUGAGCAGGGGAGGGGCAGAGAGAGAGAGGGAGACACAGAAUCUGAAGCAGGCUGCAGACUCUGAGCUGUCAGCACAGAACCUGAUGCAGGGCUCGAACUCACGAACUGAGAGAUCAUGACCUGAGCCAAAGUCGGGUGCUUAACCGACUGAGCCACCCAGGUGCCCCUUAACUCUUCUUUAAAUGUUUAGUAGAAUUUGCUUGUGAAGCAUGUGGUCCUGGGCUUUUC